UACAGAGGUCCCGAGCGUUGUUCGGAUUUACUGGGCGUAAAGGGUGCGUAGGCGGUCGGAUAAGUUCGAUGUGAAAUCUCCAAGCUUAACUUGGAAAAUGCAUUGAAUACUAUUUGGCUAGAGUGUUGAAGAGGAGACUGGAAUUCUCGGUGUAGCAGUGAAAUGCGUAGAUAUCGAGAGGAACACCAGUGGCGAAGGCGAGUCUCUGGGCAACCACUGACGCUGAGGCACGAAAGCUAGGGGAGCAAACAGG
rnacentral:rRNA from 1 species